CAGAAGAUAGUUUAAUUUUAGAAUCCUGGCUUUGGGAGCCAGGGGUGGGAGUUAAAAUCUCCCUCUUUUGG
rnacentral:tRNA from 1 species